GAUGAACGCUGGCGGCGUGCUUAACACAUGCAAGUCGAACGAGAACGGGUUAUAGCUUGCUAUAAUUGUCAGCUAAGUGGCGCACGGGUGAGUAAUGUAUAGGUAAUAUGCCUCUUACUAAGGGAUAACAAAUGGAAACGUUUGCUAAUACCUUAUACUCCUUAUUAACAGAAGUUAAUAAGGGAAAGAUUUAUUGAUAAGAGAUUAGCCUGUAUUGUAUCAGUUAGUUGGUGGGGUAAUGGCUUACCAAGACUAUGACACAUAACUGGUUUGAGAGGAUGAGCAGUCACACUGGAACUGAGACACGGUCCAGACUCCUACGGGAGGCAGCAGUGGGGAAUAUUGCACAAUGGACGAAAGUCUGAUGCAGCAACGCCGCGUGGAGGAUGACACAUUUCGGUGCGUAAACUCCUUUUUUAUGAGAAGAUAAUGACGGUAUUAUAUGAAUAAGCACCGGCUAACUCCGUGCCAGCCGCCGCCGUAAGAC
rnacentral:rRNA from 1 species